UACAUACUUGCUCAAUGGUCGAGCAUUACUCUCAUAAAGUAAAGGCAGCAGGUUCGAUUUGAAGCGUAUGAACCA
rnacentral:tRNA from 1 species